CCCCCUUCAGGAUCACACCUGAAGAGUUUCCAGUACUCUGACAGUUUUGGCUAGGGGAGGGAGAGUCAAACAGAGGCUUACCCAUUCCAUUUCUAGCUUGGCCAGUGGCUAGUGAGUGAAAGGCAAUCUGCUACAAGC